UACAGAGGGUGCGAGCGUUGUCCGGAAUCACUGGGCGUAAAGGGCGCGUAGGUGGCGCGACAAGUCAGUGGUGAAAGUUCGACGCUCAACGUCGAAUCGGCCACUGAUACUGUUGGGCUUGAGCACUGUAGAGGCUAAUGGAAUUCCGGGUGUAGCGGUGGAAUGCGUAGAGAUCCGGAAGAACACCGGUGGCGAAGGCGGUUAGCUGGGCAGUUGCUGACACUGAGGCGCGACAGCGUGGGGAGCAAACAGG
rnacentral:rRNA from 2 species